AAUAGGUUUAUCAUUUUGUAUUAGCCAACAAUAAAAUAGGUUUGUCACUUUGUGGUAGGAUUACAUGUUAGCAAACAAGCUAUAUGUCUUGGCAUCAAGAACAAUCUGUCUAACUGAUGCAAUAGCCCCAAUAACUACCAAAAUUGAAGAGAUUAUAGCUACCAAUGUGUUAAUCCAGAACAAUAGGCUUUGUUUGGAUGGUUUGAAAGUUAUGUUGUAAAACACCAUUGGCAAAAUGAAAUCCAAAGGAAUGAUUCCAAAUGCUCCAAACAAUGCCAAGAUAUCUCCAAAGAAAGGUAACAUUGCAGCAAACAAAGUAGCUAUAAUAACUGAUAAUGAUCGAAAGAUCAACCUUGGAACGACAUUGCGAAUAGAGAAUUGAUCCAUUUUUGAGUUAGCGAACCAUUUCUCGAACAAUUCAUUUGUUGGUUGCAAGUAAAUCACAGUUAUAGCAAUUAGUUGCAUGAGAGUGAAAAUAUUGGUUAUCAAGAAAAACCAAGAAGGCAACAAUGGGUUGCCAUCACCUGCAAAAUUGGUAAGAAUUAUCCCCUUAGCCUGAUUGCCAAAUGCCCAAUACCCAGAGAUUGCAACACUGAAAUAUGUAGUGACUAUCACAGCAUAGCAGAUGCAUAAGCCCUUGAACAUUUUCCCCUUUACAGGAGGAACUAAAGUUGCCUGUAUUUCAGGAAUAAUU
rnacentral:misc_RNA from 1 species